rnacentral:rRNA from 2 species
UAAUACAUGCAAGUCGAGCGAACAGACGAGAAGCUUGCUUCUCUGAUGUUAGCGGCGGACGGGUGAGUAACACGUGGGUAACCUACCUAUAAGACUGGGAUAACUCCGGGAAACCGGGGCUAAUACCGGAUAAUAUUUUGAACCGCAUGGUUCGAUAGUGAAAGACGGUUUCGGCUGUCACUUAUAGAUGGACCCGCGCCGUAUUAGCUAGUUGGUAAGGUAACGGCUUACCAAGGCGACGAUACGUAGCCGACCUGAGAGGGUGAUCGGCCACACUGGAACUGAGACACGGUCCAGACUCCUACGGGAGGCAGCAGUAGGGAAUCUUCCGCAAUGGGCGAAAGCCUGACGGAGCAACGCCGCGUGAGUGAUGAAGGUCUUCGGAUCGUAAAACUCUGUUGUUAGGGAAGAACAAAUUUGUUAGUAACUGAACAAGUCUUGACGGUACCUAACCAGAAAGCCACGGCUAACUACGUGCACCCAGCCGCA